UACGUAGGGGGCUAGCGUUGUCCGGCUUUAUUGGGCGUAAAGAGCGUGUAGGCGGCCAGGUAGGUCUGCUGUGAAAACUCGAGGCUCAACCUCGAGACGUCGGCGGAAACCAUCUGGCUAGAGUCCGGAAGAGGAGAGUGGAAUUCCUGGUGUAGCGGUGAAAUGCGCAGAUAUCAGGAAGAACACCCGUGGCGAAGGCGGCUCUCUGGGACGGUACUGACGCUGAGACGCGAAAGCGUGGGGAGCGAACAGG
rnacentral:rRNA from 1 species